rnacentral:rRNA from 1 species
UACAGAGGUCUCAAGCGUUGUUCGGAUUCAUUGGGCGUAAAGGGUGCGUAGGUGGCGCCGUAAGGCGGAUGUGAAAUUUCGGAGCUUAACUCCGAAACUGCAUUCGAUACUGCGGUGCUUGAGGACUGGAGAGGAGACUGGAAUUCAUGGUGUAGCGGUGAAAUGCGUAGAUAUCGAGAGGAACACCUGCGGCGAAGGCGGGUUGCUGGGCUGACACUGACGCUGAAGCGCGAAAGCUAGGGGAGCGAACGGG